CACAUGCAAGUCGAGCGGUAGAGAGAAGCUUGCUUCUCUUGAGAGCGGCGGACGGGUGAGUAAAGCCUAGGAAUCUGCCUGGUAGUGGGGGAUAACGUUCGGAAACGGACGCUAAUACCGCAUACGUCCUACGGGAGAAAGCAGGGGACCUUCGGGCCUUGCGCUAUCAGAUGAGCCUAGGUCGGAUUAGCUAGUUGGUGAGGUAAUGGCUCACCAAGGCGACGAUCCGUAACUGGUCUGAGAGGAUGAUCAGUCACACUGGAACUGAGACACGGUCCANACUCCUACGGGAGGCAGCAGUGGGGAAUAUUGGACAAUGGGCGAAAGCCUGAUCCANCCAUGCCGCGUGUGUGAAGAAGGUCUUCGGAUUGUAAAGCACUCUAAGNUGGGAGGAAGGGCAUUAACCUAAUACGUUAGUGUUUUGACGUUACCGACAGAAUAAGCACC
rnacentral:rRNA from 1 species